rnacentral:rRNA from 1 species
CACAGCCUACGGGGCGCAGCAGCGAGGAAUAUUGGUCAAUGGACGAGAGUCUGAACCAGCCAAGUAGCGUGAAGGAUGACUGCCCUAUGGGUUGUAAACUUCUUUUAUAUGGGAAUAAAGUUUUCCACGUGUGGAAUUUUGUAUGCACCAUAUGAAUAAGGAUCGGCUAACUCCGUGCCAGCAGCCGCGGUAAUACGGAGGAUCCGAGCGUUAUCCGGAUUUAUUGGGUUUAAAGGGUGCGCAGGCGGUCUGUUAAGUCAGCGGUCAAAGCCCGGGGCUCAACCCCGGCCCGCCGUUGAACCUGG